GAUGAACGCUGGCGGCGUGCCUAAUACAUGCAAGUCGAGCGAACAGAUAAGGAGCUUGCUCCUUUGACGUUAGCGGCGGACGGGUGAGUAACACGUGGGUAACCUACCUAUAAGACUGGGAUAACUUCGGGAAACCGGAGCUAAUACCGGAUAACAUUUGGAACCGCAUGGUUCUAAAGUGAAAGAUGGUUUUGCUAUCACUUAUAGAUGGACCCGCGCCGUAUUAGCUAGUUGGUAAGGUAACGGCUUACCAAGGCGACGAUACGUAGCCGACCUGAGAGAGUGGUAGGCCACACUAGAAGUGAGACACGGUCCUGACUCCUGAGGGAGGCAGCAGUAGGGAAUCUGCCGCAAAGGGCGGGAGCCUUACGGAGCAACGCCGCGUGAGUGAUGGAGGGUUUCGGCUCGUAAAACUCGGUUAUUAGGGAAGAACAAACGUGUAAGUAACUGUGCACGGCUUGACGGUACCUAAUCAGAAAGCAACGGCUAACUACGUG
rnacentral:rRNA from 1 species